rnacentral:rRNA from 1 species
AACGCGAAGAACCUUACCUGGAUUUGACAUGUGUAUGACCGUUACAGAGAUGUAAAAUUCUAGCAAUAGACAUACAACACAGGUGCUGCAUGGCUGUCGUCAGCUCGUGCCGUGAGGUGUUGGGUUAAGUCCCGCAACGAGCGCAACCCUUGUCGUUAGUUGCCAGCACGUAAUGGUGGGCACUCUAGCGAGACUGCCUGGGUUAACCAGGAGGAAGGUGAGGAUGACGUCAAGUCCGCAUGGCCUUUAUAUCCAGGGCUACACACGUGCUACAAUGGCCGGUACAGAAGGUAGCGAGACCGCGAGGUGGAGCAAAUCCGAAAAGCCGGCCCCAGUUCAGAUUGUAGUCUGCAACUCGACUACAUGAAGAUGGAAUUGCUAGUAAUGGCGAGUCAGCAACAUCGCCGUGAAUACGUUCCCGGGCCUUGUACACACCGUAGUAC